UUCAGCCUUCUUUUCCGAGGUAGCGCUGAGACCAGAUGUCGCUAAAUAGCAACAUGCAUAACUGGUCGGCUUCUGUCUAGUAGAGGAGAUCAUAAGCCUCACGAGAUCCCAGAGUCUCUGUCUUCUUCAGUACCCCCAGCACCCACCCCAGGACAGAGCCACAGAGUUGUGGAGCGCCCAAGUGGUGGAUGAACAUGGAAUGCAAAGGCUGAGGGUGCAUUGACCAGGAGCACGGGGGGCAGCAACUUGUCGAACAGCCGCAGCACAGAUGAAGUGGCCAGGCUCCUAGGGAAGCCUCACUAGGGAGCUGGAGGGAGGCCCGGGGAUGGCGGGAGAGAGGGAGAGGGUAUGUGUGGUCAUGGCCUGGGAGGCCAGCAGGCCAGAGCUGGGAGGGCUUUGCACGUCUCUCCGGAGCUUGGGUCCAUCCUGGAAGCCAUGGGGAGCAAGGAUUGAAACUGGGAGCGGGCUCUGGCUGUUGGAGGUAAAGCUGCUGGUGCCACUGAGCCUUAACACUCAGGAAAGAGGUCCUGGCUGCAAGGUCAGGGAGCCAAGGGAAGCCAGUGCCUGAUCCGGGUUGGGUUUUCUCAGCUGUCCCCCAGGAAGAGGCUGCAUCGGGAAUGAGGGCACAGAAGCUGGCUAGGAUGGCUUCUGAUUCCAGUAGGGCCUCUCAGGAGCCCUGACAGCCAGCCUCUUGGGCUGACUAAUUCAAAAGAGUAUUCUUAUUGUACAGGCGUGGGGCAAGCUUUCCUUAUCUUAGAGGUCAGCAGUGGGAAUGCACUGUUGUAUUUAUAUAAUCAAAAUGUUUUCACAGCAACAAGAAAGACUUUAAUCCUGCCAGCAUGUUGGCGUUGUUUGUGCAAAGGUGUCAUCUCGCUGGAGGGCAGAAGGAUUCCCUGGAGCCUGGGGGCCAGCAGGACAGAGGAAACAGAAGCAUGCAGGCUGAUGUCACACGCCGCCCUGAAUCACACCGUGGUACCACCUGUUUCCCUGACGUAAAGCUAGGAGAGGAAUGAUGUGACCAUCUCAAAUGUUCCAGUCACCCUGACCUUUAACCCUGGCUUCUAAGAAGGCUCCAGAUGUUUCUUGUGGUUAGAGCUCCCAGAAAAUGACUCCUUCCUCUAUGAGACAUUAUCUGAUGACAAGAAGAUUCUGAGCGAUGUGGGGGAGUGAGAAUAUUUUCAUAAUAUCUGCCAUUAGAAUGACUUAGAAAUGGAAGGCCCAGGUUGAGAAAUUAGGAUCCCACGCACGCUGCCCUCUUGUGAGGAGGUGCAGAAGUUACCUCUUCCCUUGGAAAUUCUCUUUCUUAGAACUCGGGUAUUUAUCAACCACCUAACUGGCUGCUUGAAGGAUGGUCACCUUUUUCUGUAUUGGUUUGCAAAGAAAGGAAGUUGCAAAAGGUCACAAAGCAACUCCAUAUCCUUUGGAAAUUUUAGCGUGCCGGGCCUCAUGUAGAUAAACUGAAAACAAUCUAAGUCUUUUAUGUUGUACUAAGUCAAGAGUUCUUUAGCAGUGGAAGAAGAUGGAGUCUUGCAUGAAUGGAAGGGUCUUGGCUGUUUGCAUUGGUAUCAAGGGAAGGACUAGAUGCUUGCACUAAAAGAAAAAGCUGAGGGAGGGGAACAGGAAGUGGGGAGCAAAUCUGAGACUGAAUAAAUGUAAAUAAAAGAGCUAAGACUGCUGAGCAGGUACUAGGAGCUGGGUCAGAUUUUAUUCCCAAGAACUCUUAGUUAUUCUGCCUCCUCUGAGAUAGGGAAUGUGUGGCUUACCUUUGCGUCCACACCUGGCUCAUACCAACCAUGCAACCAAUAAUUGUUCAUCAGAUGAAGGUCGUCAAAGGCUCGGACAACCCUUCAGUAACUCUUUCAGGGAAGCCACCCACUCAUUUCAUCUUAUCUGCUUGGCUUUCAGUGUUUAUCAUGUCAGUGACUCUUUAUCCCAGACCGGAGGUUGAUUUCGGUCACCUGCCGGGGUCAUUAGCGCCGUGAUGUCAUCACACACCUGGCCCAGCUGCUUGGGACUGGGACAUCGAUGCUGUGUCUGUGACCAGGCUUGUUAGGCUUAGCAGAGAGCUGGCAUCCUGGCCACUGGCUGGGGUCAGGGUUUCCCAGCAGGCGUCUCCUUCCUGGAAACACCCUCUUUUCCCAGCCUUUGGUCUCCUCUCCUGCGUCUGGCGCCCAGAACCUCCCUGGGCCUUCUCUAUCCCUCCAACCACCUGCCUGGACUUAGCUAGCUUCCAGAUUCAGCGAGGAGAGGGGUGAGGGGCUGGAAGGCAGGGCCCGGCCUGGGAUCUUCUGAUGCCCUAUGCUGUGACGUGGCUCCUUGUAGCUGCUGCAGCUGAUCGAGUCUCUGGGCUGGAUCAGUGGGAGGUGGAGGCUCUGGAAGGAUGCACGGCGGCUCCAGGGUUCUACCUGGCAACAGCGUGAGUCUGGCUCUUCAUUAUCAAAGGAAAUACUUACAGGUCGGAGAUACAAUUCCUUAUGGCUUGAUUUGGGCCAUGACAUCUCCCAGAAAGCCUCUUCUGAGGCGAGAGAUUUUGGCAACCUCCAGAGCAACAGGUUUCCUCUUUGCACCUCAUUACCAUCUUUCCUGGCUUAGAAAUGAAUGUCAGCCCCGGUCAAUGUACAUUGUGUGUCAUUUAAGAAUUACUAAUAUAUGGGUGGAAUUACGCCAGCAUGUCCUCACUGCGAUGGUUCCUUCUGGGUUCCACAAGGGAUACAAAGGUGGACUGAGCACACAUCUUGUCUUCAAGAACUCUGGCGUAGCAGGGAUACAAGUGCACACACGUGUGUAUGCAGACACAUACGUACGCACACACUGUAUUAGGUCUGCUGCUGCUCUAACAACUUAUCACAAACACGGUGGCUUAAAACAAUGCAAACUUACUAUCUUACACUCCUGGUGGCCAGCCGCCUGACCCAGGUCUCCUGGGUCUAACGUGAAGGUGGCGGCGCUGCUCUCCUUUCCGGAGAUUCUGUUCUCCUGUGCUUUCCGGCUUCUUCCUGCCCCGGGCUGGUGGCCCCUUCCUCCGUCUCUGACCCUUCCGUGCUUCCACCUCUUCGUGCCCACACUGGGGAAAGGAUCCCCACUUUAAGGGCUCGCGUGAUGAGAUUGGGCUCACCUGGAUAGUCCAGAAGAAUUUUCUCAUCUCAACCUUGAUCACACCUGCAAAGUCCCUUUUGCCAUGGAAAGUAACAUAUUCAUGGGUUCCAGGGAUUAGGAGAUGGCCCUAUGUUGCCAUAUUUUGCUGGGGGCGGGGAGGAUAUUAUUCUGCCUACCAUAAACAUAUGUACACACAAAU